AGUGAACGCUGGCGGCAGGCCUAAUACAUGCAAGUCGAACGGCAGCACAGCAGAGCUUGCUCUGUGGGUGGCGAGUGGCGGACGGGUGAGGAAUACAUGGGAAUCUGCCCAGUCGUGGGGGAUAACGUAUGGAAACGUACGCUAAUACCGCAUGCGCCCUUUGGGGGAAAGCCGGGGACCUUCGGGCCUGGCGCGAUUGGAUGAGCCCACGUUCGAUUAGCUAGUUGGCGGGGUAAAGGCCCACCAAGGCGACGAUCGAUAGCUGGUCUGAGAGGAUGAUCAGCCACACUGGGACUGAGACACGGCCCAGACUCCUACGGGAGGCAGCAGUAGGGAAUAUUGGACAAUGGGCGCAAGCCUGAUCCAGCCAUGCCGCGUGAGUGAAGAAGGCCCUCGGGUUGUAAAGCUCUUUUGUCCGGAAAGAAAAGCAUUCGGUUAAUACCCGGGUGUUCUGACGGUACCGGAAGAAUAAGCACCGGCUAACUUCGUG
rnacentral:rRNA from 1 species